CGGCGUGCCUAACACAUGCAAGUCGUACGGAAAGUUGGCUUCGGCCGAUGAGUACAGUGGCGCACGGGUGAGUAACGCGUGGAUAAUCUGCCCUUAAGUGUGGAAUAACGUACCGAAAGGUGCGCUAAUACCGCAUAAUGCCUGGCAACAUAAGUUGUCCGGCCAAAGAAGGCCUCUGCUUGCAAGCUUUCGCUAAAGGAUGAGUCCGCGUACCAUUAGCUAGUUGGUGGGGUAACGGCCUACCAAGGCGACGAUGGUUAGCUGGUCUGAGAGGAUGAUCAGCCACACUGGAACUGAGACACGGUCCAGACUCCUACGGGAGGCAGCAGUGAGGAAUAUUGCGCAAUGGGGGCAACCCUGACGCAGCAACGCCGCGUGAGUGAGGAAGGUUUUCGGACUGUAAAGCUCUGUCGAGCGGGAAGAAGUGUACCAUGGCUAAUAUCCAUGAUAUUUGACGGUACCGCUAGAGGAAGCACCGGCUAACUCCGUG
rnacentral:rRNA from 1 species